rnacentral:snRNA from 1 species
AUCAUUUGUUGGCCUUUGGCUAAGUUCAAGUGUAGUAUCUGUUAUUAUAUGAUUGUCCCUUACCAAGGAUAAUAUAGUAAAUGGGUGUGUGGAACAAAGAGAUAAAAUAGGAGCUUGUUCCAUCUGCUUCACUCCUUGAUUUAGUAUUGCAAUAUUUCCAGAAACGAUGCACAGAGA